rnacentral:rRNA from 1 species
AGGCCUAACACAUGCAAGUCGAGGGCAGCACAAGGAGCAAUCUGAGGUGGCGACCGGCGCACGGGUGAGUAACACGUAUGCAACCUGCCUGUAAGCGGGGAAUAACCCGUUGAAAGACGGACUAAUACCGCAUAAUACUAAAUUACUGCAUGGUAAUUAUUUAAACAUUUAUGGCUUACAGAUGGGCAUGCGCAUGAUUAGCUAGUUGGAGAGGUAACGGCUCCCCAAGGCAACGAUCAUUAGGGGUUCUGAGAGGAAGGUCCCCCACACUGGUACUGAGACACGGACCAGACUCCUACGGGAGGCAGCAGUGAGGAAUAUUGGUCAAUGGACGAGAGUCUGAACCAGCCAAGUCGCGUGCAGGAAGAAUGUCCUAAUGGAUUGUAAACUGCUUUUGCAGGGGAAUAAAGUGCAUCACGUGUGAUGUUUUGUAUGUACUCUGCGAAUAAGGAUCGGCUAACUCCGUGCCAGCAGCAGC